GAUGAAGAACGUAGCGAAAUGCGAUAAGUAAUGCGAAUUGCAGAAUUCAGUGAGUCAUCGAAUCUUUGAACGCACAUUGCGCCCUGUGGUAUUCCGCAGGGCAUGCCUGUUCGAGCGUCAUUUCAACCCUCAAGCUCUGCUUGGUGUUGGGCCCUGCCCGCUGCGGCCGGCCCUAAAGACAGUGGCGGUGCCGCCUGGCCCUGAGCGUAGUACAUCUCUCGCUGCAGUGCCCGGUGGUAGCCUGCCAGAACCCCAACUCUCGUGGUUGACCUCGGAUCAGGUAGGGAUACCCGCUGAACUUAAGCAUAUCAAUAAGCGGAGGA
rnacentral:misc_RNA from 1 species